CGUGUAGGCGGUUGGUCAAGUCUGGUGUGAAAGCCCGGGGCUUAGCCCCGGAAGUGCGCUGGAAACUAAGCCAACUUGAGCGCGAUAGAGGAGGGUGGAAUUCCUGGUGUAGCGGUGAAAUGCGUAGAUAUCAGGAGGAACACCGGCGGCGAAGGCGGCCCUCUGGAUCGUUGCUGACGCUGAGACGCGAAAGCGUGGGGAGCAAACAGGAUUAGAUACCCUGGUAGUCCACGCUAGUAAACGAUGGGUACUAGGUGUUCGGGGUGUUGACCCCCCGAGUGCCGACGCUAACGCAUUAAGUACCCCGCCUGGGGACUACGGCCGCAAGGCGUAAA
rnacentral:rRNA from 1 species